rnacentral:lncRNA from 1 species
AUAUCUUAAAAUAAGAUCCAUUAUCUCACUGUUUGAAUCAGAGCGAAGGACAUGAGGGAGCACGUUCGGACUGGAUUCUGUUAAGCUGCCAACAUAGAUGAGGUCUUGCUCCACACCCUCAGUAGGGACGAUUUAAGGGACCUACUUCCAGGGCCUGAAAAUUUUAUGAGGAGGAAACAGUUGUGGGCUCAAGUUCACAAAGAGGCAAGUUUUGCCGCUUUUGAUUGAAAAACACCUAGCACAACACAUUUUGUUUAGGACUCCUGUAAUAUAACUAUUUUUGUUUUCUUAUUUAGGAUGAAACUAAAGAAAAGGUGUCUCAUGGAUAUCUCACCAUGUGACAGGGAGAAGAUUAUGAUGCAGAUUCAAGUGGUGGAUCGAACAUGCUUUUGCCACCCAGGAGCAGUUCUGGUGACAACAGUUGUAAGUGAACGAUUACAAUUAUGGCAAUAAUAUUGAAUAUUGAACUGAAAGUUGAUUUAGUUCUUUCUUUCCUGUUCUGUUUAAACAUAGCCCUGUUCAGGGCACUACCAACUCUCUUCCUAUCACAAGCUGCACCACCCAAGAAGAUGGGACAUGUCAGUGAAGCACUGAUUCAUGUCCUUCAGAAGAUCCAGCGUCAGCCCUGUUCAGCUCUUUGAAGGGUCCCGCUGUCUUAUUGCAGUUGAACCACUCCCAUCACCACAUUUGCCACAGAUGACCUUGGAGAAGGUUUGCUGUAUCUUAUGGCAUACUACUACACCCUGCAUCUUACCUAUCCUAAAUGUGUGGCAACGCUUCUGUCUGUCAUUCAGACAGAAGCGUUAAAAGACAAAAUCCAUGAGCAAGACACCACAGGCUCAUACAAAAAAGUCAUGGCAGGCUGUAGGAAUUUUAUUGAAACAUAGAGCUGUUUGAACAAGAUUUAGCUUAGGUCUGUGUUGGAAGGUUUGGACCUGAUAGCUUUGAAGUUGAAAUUGAUACUUGAAUUUAUUUAUUUAUUUUUUAAUUCUUUGUUCUGUAUUACAUUAAUAAAAGUACUUUUUUUCUUUAAACACAUCUGUUCUGCAAAUUCUGUUUAAAAUUUCAAAUGCUCAUUUUAUAUGUUGAGUAGUUAACUGGUUUAACAGUUCUAAAAGGAACACAAAAUAACAAUGUUACACUUACAAUGUGUCUUUAAAUUUUUGUAUACUAUGAUUGACUGAAAUAUUUGUUACUGUUUGGAGAGUUUGUUUCCAAUAAAGGUCAUGCACACAGUAUACUUUGCCUGCUUUCAUUUGGUAUACAGGCUUUGUCCUGUUUAAGAUUAAAAGAAGAAUUCGCUUGUUUAGUGGGUCUUGUUUUAAGAGCUUUUCUCUCAAAGUAACAUAAAAAAUGAAAACUUAAUUAAAGCACUUACAGACUUAUUUUGGGUUUGACUUAACAGAGUUCUUGGAAUAGCUAAUUCACGACUUGUUUUAAGAUAUCUCUUACUUGUCUAAAGUCUAGAUAUAUUUUCUUAUUUUGAGAAUUCUUAUCAAGUGUAAUUUUCUUACUGCACUGGCAGAUUAUUUCACUAAAUUUAAGAAGAUUUAGACUACAAUCUAAUAUUUUUUAACUUAUUUAAGAUGGGUAAUUUUGCAGUGUUUCUUUAAAAUGAUUUAAUGUACUAGUUUUUAGAUUAUUUGCCUUGAUUUGUUCUUUAGAAUAAGUGUUUUAUGCCCAUUUUCAGAUUUAAUUUCUUCAACAUUUUGCUUAGAACAAGUGGUUAAAGCUUAUUUUAGGUUUCAAUUGCCGUGAUUGGUUGCCUGGAAUAAGUGUGUAAGGAUUAUUUUAAGAUUUAACUAUCUUAUUUGUUCCCUAGAAUAAGUGGUUAAAUUUUAUUUUAAAUUUCAAUUGUUCUGAUUUGUUGCCUGGAAUAAGUGUAAAAGACUUAAGAAGAUUUAAAUAAAGCUAAAUUAUUUCAAGAAAUCUUAGUAAGAAAAAAAAAAAAAACCACACACUUACCCCACUGGCAGAUAAUUUCACUUGUUUUAAGCAAAUCAUCACCAAAGAUAAGUGUAUUUAUCUAGUAUUAAGGAGGUGGGUUUUUGCAGUUAUUAAUAAUAAUAAUAAUAAUAAUAAUAAUAAUAAUAAUAAUAAUAAUAGAUUGCAUUUAUAUAGCGCUUUUCGAGACCCUCAAAGCGCUUUAGAAUUCCACUAUUCAUACACACACACACACACACACACACACACCUACAGUUGUAGCCACAUCUGCCCUGGGGCAGACUGACAGAAGCGAGGCUGCCAUAUCGCGCCAUCGGCCCCUCUGGCCAUCACCAGUAGGUGCCCAAGGACACAACGACUGAGACUGUCGGAGCUGGGGCUCGAACCCGCAACUUUCCGGUUACAAGACGAACUGCCAACUCUUUGAGCCACGAUCGCCCCAUACAUCAUACGGAGCAUGUCACACUCUCCACCACGUUUCUGUAUCUGAACAAUGCCCAGCAUAGUAAAUAAGGAAACCAAAGCUGGUGUAUCUCAGCUUAUUCAAUGUUUAAUUUCUGUGCAUUUGCAUGUACCCUCAAUUUGCUGCACGCAUCCAUCAAGAGGUCACCUCACCUCACCAACUACAAAUCAGAUUCCAAAGGCACACCAAGGGGACAGAAGCUGAGAGAACAACAACGGGGAUUAGAGCAGUAACAAGUGGGCAGCCAGUGACACUCAUUCUGCACAAUCUGGUACAGUUUAAAAAAAAAAAAAAAAAAAAAAAAAGCUAGUUUUGGCCUUUUCUCCUCUCAUCUGGGGAGACACAGCUGACGCACAUCAACAUGACGCCACAGGGAAGUCAAACAAAACACAUUGAACAUGGAAACUACACUUUCAAAAUAAAACAAGAAACAUGGAGAGAUGUAGGCAUAACAAGCUUGACAACAUGAACGACACAGACAGGAAACACAUGACACAUAACCAAGGAGACCUGGAUGAAACAAAAACCAGAAUAAAACUAAUCGAAAAGCAACAUAUCAGGAGGUCGAUCCAGAGGUCGACACAUCAUAAACAUAAGUCCAUAAACAAACAGUUCUGGCCUUCUGCCAGCUGCGAAUAAAUGCACCCUGAGGAGGGUGCAUUUAUGAAAUUUUGCCCAACUUUACCUUGUCCACAACCUUUGUUCCAAGUGACUCCAGCAUGGUCUCAAACAACACUGUACAACCCCCAAAGCUGCAGUGGUCAACAAAAUGACCCUGCAUCCUGUUUUAUCAGCUCAAAAAUGACAUGACAUGAGUCAGUCCCCAAGCCUGAUACCUGAGCUUUCCCUUUCGGGUCUGGGAAUCAGGCUUUGAGGGCCUGCCAUUUAUUAUUUCAUAUCAUACGGGAUGUUACUUCUGAAACGGCAGCUCUUCUGAAUUUCGCCCUCCGACCCCGGCGAGUUUUGCGUUUCUUCUUAUCCUGCGGGCAAAGUUAAAAAAAAAACUGUCUAAGCAUACUUUAACAAGCUGUUAGAAGACUUAAGAAACUUUUUUGCACUGCCCUGUCCAUUGCAUCUUACAUUUUACUUUGUUGUGAUUUUGUAUUUUAUUUUAGAGCAGGAAGCUCAAAAAGCCCCUGGGGCCUUAACAAGUUUUCACUGGCAGCCAUAUGGCACUGUAUCCUUGGAUAAAGUAGGCCCGUGCUUUCAGUAAUGUCAAGAAGCCAAAAGUGACCGAACAGAAAGUGAAAUAUGUCCACUUUCUGUUGCAACAAAGCAAUACUACAUGUACUUCUAAUCUUAACAUACACACAGUAAUGUAUAACAAAGGGGUGCAUUCAGUAAAUAGACAGGCCCCAAAUGCAUACCAUACCAUCUUUAUUUAUAAAGCACUUUAAAAUAAAACCAGAGUUCACAAAGUGCUGUACAUGCUAAUAGCAUAAGUAAAGAAAGUUAAAAAUAAGAUAAAUAAAAAUAACUACAAUAAAUUAAAACGUGUUAAAACAAAUUGAGUCAACCCCUUUAAUCAGUGCCAAAGGCUUCAGCAAAUAAAUACGUUUUAAGACUUUUAAACUCAGUAAGAGAACAGGCCUGCCUAACGUGCAUUCCACAACUUGGAGCAGCUACAGCAAAAGCACGAUCACCUUUAAAUUUAUACUUAGUUUUCGGUAUCUCCUACCCCUUGGGUCUAUUUUCAGGAAGCAUGGGAUUUCUUUCCACUUUAUGCCGAUGACUCCCAGAUUUAUUUCCCACUUAAAAGAUGAUCCACUGUAUCAAAAGCAGCAGUUAAAUCUAACAGCACAAUAAAAACGCAGUCACCUGAGUCAGUUGCUAAAAACACAUCAUUAAAAACUCUUAAAAGGGCAGAUUCGGUACUAUGUAAAGCUUUAAAACCAGAUUGGAAAACUUCUAAAAUACCGUGUUCUUCUAAAAAGGACAUUAAUUGCUUGUAAACUACCUUUUCAAGAAUCUUUGAGAUAACAGGCAGUUUGGAAAUAGGUCUGUAAUUUGCAAUAAUAUCAGGAUCAAGAGCAGGUUUCUUGAGUAGAGGCUGAAUCACUGCAUGUUUAUGAUUGACAGGUACAACACCAGAGGACAGACUACUACUUACAAUGGAUUGUACAACUGAUGCUAUAGUGAGAAAAACCUCUUUGGGAAAAAAAAUCAAGGAGGGAGAGCAUCAUAAGGGGAACCUGAGGGCUUCAGAUGAGCAACCAACUGCUGCAGGCACAGCAAAGAAACUGGCUCAAACCUGUCAAAGACAGCAGAGCUAGGGACAGGGGUAGAAGGGUCGAGAACGGACUGGGAAAUCUGCGCUUUCACAGAGAGCACUUUAUCAAUAAAGAAGUGUAGGAAGUUUUCACAAGUU